GCCGGAGUGGUGAAAUUGGUAGACGCAGGGGACUCAAAAUCCCCCGGGGUAAAACCCGUGCCGGUUCGAUUCCGGCCUCCGGCACCA
rnacentral:tRNA from 5 species